AUUGAACGCUGGCGGCAGGCCUAACACAUGCAAGUCGAACGGUAACAGGAAGCAGCUUGCUGCUUCGCUGACGAGUGGCGGACGGGUGAGUCAUGUCUGGGAAACUGCCUGAUGGAGGGGGAUAACUACUGGAAACGGUAGCUAAUACCGCAUAACGUCGCAAUCCCAAAGAGGGGGACCUUAGGGCCUCUUGCCAUCGGGUGUGCCCAGCUGGGAUUAGCUAGUAGGUGGGGUAACGGCUCACCUAGGCGACGCUCCCUAGCUGGUCUGAGAGGCUGAACAGCCACACUGGAACUGAGACACGGUCCAGACUCCUACGGGAGGCAGCAGUGGGGAAUAUUGCACAAUGGGCGCAAGCCUGAUGCAGCAAUGCCGCGUGUAGGAAGAAGGCCUUAGGGUUGUAAAGUACUUUCAGCGGGGAGGAAGGGAGGAAAGUUAAUACCGUAGCUCAUUGACGGUACCCGAAGAAGAAGCACCGGCUAACUCCGUG
rnacentral:rRNA from 1 species